rnacentral:rRNA from 1 species
GACGAACGCUGGCGGCGUGCUUAACACAUGCAAGUCGAACGGAAAGGCCCUGCUUUUGUGGGGUGCUCGAGUGGCGAACGGGUGAGUAACACGUGAGUAACCUGCCCUUGACUUUGGGAUAACUUCAGGAAACUGGGGCUAAUACCGGAUAGGAGCUCCUGCUGCAUGGUGGGGGUUGGAAAGUUUCGGCGGUUGGGGAUGGACUCGCGGCUUAUCAGCUUGUUGGUGGGGUAGUGGCUUACCAAGGCUUUGACGGGUAGCCGGCCUGAGAGGGUGACCGGCCACAUUGGGACUGAGAUACGGCCCAGACUCGUACGGGAGGCAGCAGGGGGGAAUAUUGCACAAUGGGCGGAAGCCUGAUGCAGCAACGCCGCGGGCGGGAUGACGGCCUUCGGGUUGUAAACCGCUUUCGCCUGUGACGAAGCGUGAGUGACGGUAAUGGGUAAAGAAGCACCGGCUAACUACGUG